GACCACCAACCAGCUUACGCUGGAAACGAGGUCAGAUGCUGUGGCGUCAUUAGCGGGGGAGUCCUGGAGGCUCGUCGUCCAAUCACAAGCUACCUCGCUUUGUGAAGUAGAGGUACUUAAAACUUACCAACUUACGUGGGCUGGAGGAGGGUCUUCAGCAGAGGACUGAGGACAAAGUUGAAAGGAGAUACAGUGUAUCAGCUUCAUUCUCAAGGGUCUCACACGCACACAAGGUGAAUCUAUUCAUUAAUUUCUUAUUUUAGCAUGUCGAGCACUUUUAGAGAAACCACUCACUGAUCUGUUUGUUGCAGACAACCCCCCACCCCUUAAUAAAUAAAACAAUAAAUUUAAAAAAAUAUUAAAAUAAGACAAUAAAUUAAAAAAUGAUCAAAACAACAAAAAUAUUCACAACAUAUUCUCCCCUCUCAGGCCGUUCGAGAUGUAGAUGAGUUUGGUUCUUUACUGGAACAGAUUUGGAGAAAUGUUUGGAUCCUCUGCAGUGAAUGGGUGCCGUCAGCUGAUAAAAACAUCAGUUAUCCAUGAGUAAUUCACACUAUUCCAGUCCAUCAAUUAAUGCCUCGAUGGAUUUUAUUACAAACAGAUUUUUGCUUGACAAGACUUUAAUUAAUUGACGGACUGGAGUCGUGUGGAUGAUGUAAAUUAUUGUGAUAUUUUUGUAAGCCGUUUGGACUCUCACCUAUUCAUUACAGAGAACUCACUGGUUAAGGAAGUCAUGCUAAAUUCCUCUGAAUCUGUUCCAAUGGGCUUGCACGUGCAAUUUAUUUUCACCCCAAAAUAGUUUUCCGUGUUAUAAUUACAACGGUUUAUGAAAAGUGAGGCUUUUAAGGAAUGCUUUUUGUCCCGUCGCGUGUCCAAUGAUGUCAGUGUUUCAGUGUGCUGUUACUUUUCUUGCCACAUUUAUUCCAGAUAAGGAUGUAACCAAACAUACAAGAUUAGAGGUAGAAAAAUGUAAGUUAAAGUUGAAGCCACUGAAUAACCCAGUCCGAUAUGUAUCCAUCGAUGUCUAUGACUAGAGUUAUGGCUUUAAUCCCAGAUGGCUAAAACUAGGAAUUCAUUUGUAUCCAAUUUCUCUCAAAUCACAUUAUUUUUUAAAAUGUAGAAGUGGGUCAUCAUUGGGUUGCUUUUUUCUAUGUCAAAAAAGGCAAUCCAGUUUAAUAUACAAUCCAUUUCCACUCAUCCACCCCUAGAUAAGCAGUUCAAGGCUGUAAGUAUGUGUACACACUUCCAUUUUUAUGCCUUUAAAAGUCUGAACUACCUACCAGCAUUGUUUCUGAAAUGCUUUUCAUUCAUUCUAGUUUCUCUAAUUAAAGCAAGCACAAUUUCUGUGCGUAUGAUAGCAUUAGACUAAAGCAGUUCAUUUGUUAUUAACAAAAACCUCUAGAUUACGAGCCAAAAAAAAGUGUGUAAUACUCUCUAAAAAGUGUAAAGUACACUCUUAAAACUGUAUCCUUGCAUUUAAUAGGUUUUUUGGGGAGAAAAGCGAGAGCUUGUUUCAUCUAAAACAAAUCUAUCAAAUUAACAAAACACCUUUGAAGAGUUAUGGGUUAUGUAUUAUCUCAUACAAAACGAAAAGUUGCGGUACAAAGAAUAAAAAUACUUGAAACACGAGUGCAUAAGCAUGCCACAAAAUAUCUGCAAAUCAAUGCGGUUUAGCGCAUGUCUGGCUCUGAAAUGUUUGUUGAGGUUGUUUGCCUAUAGGUGGCGCAUAUUUGCCUAAAAAUUGGUAGAGCAAAGGGUUUAUGAAUUCUGUCAAUAACGACUUAUUCUUAUCAGACCAGAUAAAGCACACCACUGUAAAAGUCUCCUACAGCGCUUACUUACGUUAUUUGCACAAGUGGAGUAUCCGCAUUAGAGUAUUACAGGAAGGCGACACCUGCAAUCAGGGUGGUUUUGUCUUAUAAUAACUGUAAUCGAGUCAUGUUUAACAAGCUCUUGAAAGCUGUACACAAUUCUGUUCAACUGUAGUGACAGCUGUUAGGGGUUUUCAGGCUACAGUUUUAUCAGAAAGUAGUGCAACCUCUAAAGCGUGUGAUUAAAAACAGCAAACUUCCUCUUUACAUGUCAAACGUACUGUUAGUAAUCAACAAAAUCAAGCACAAGCAGCGUUGAUCUAAUAAAGUUUAUUUUCUUAAAAAUGACCAGUUUCUGUUCUUUUCUAGGAAAUUAAACCCUUUUUAAAUUCAUACUAGCAUCUACAUAAUGGUUAUUGAAGACUUCACAAUAUAUUAAGUCUAGAUGUUAUGGUACACAUGCAUAAAAUUCAGGCUGCAUGAGAAGCCACAGUCACCACAUUACACAUAGAUGGAGUUUGAGGGGCAAAAAAGACGAUGGGGCUGUAGAGAUACUUGUCUCAGCUUCAAAGAGGCCAGAGGCCUCCGAUAUAACCAACUCCAGCAAGGCUUUUCAAAAUCACUAUCAUACUUAAAACAGGCACAA